UACAGAGACUGCGAGCGUUAUUCGGAUUCACUGGGCGUAAAGGGAGCGUAGGCGGGUUUCUAAGUCAGGUGUUUAAUCCCGGGGCCCAACCCCGGACAGGCACUUGAAACUGGGAAUCUUGAAUAGUGGAGAGGUCAGUGGAAUUGGGGGUGUAGCGGUGGAAUGCGUAGAGAUCCCCAAGAACACCAGUUGCGAAGGCGGCUGACUGGACACAUAUUGACGCUGAGGCUCGAAAGCAUGGGGAGCAAACAGG
rnacentral:rRNA from 1 species